rnacentral:rRNA from 1 species
CGCGUCCUACGGGGGGCAGCAGUAGGGAAUUUUCGGCAAUGGGGGGAACCCUGACCGAGCAACGCCGCGUGAAGGAAGAAGGAAUUCGUUCUGUAAACUUCUGUUAUAGAGGAAGAAAGGCGGAUGAAGGAAAUGACAUCCGAGUGCCGGUACUUUAUGAGAAAGCCACGGCUAACUACGUGCCAGCAGCCGCGGUAAUACGUAGGUGGCAAGCGUUAUCCGGAAUUAUUGGGCGUAAAGAGGGAGCAGACGGCAGCAAAGGUCUGUGUAG